rnacentral:rRNA from 1 species
ACUCCUACGGGAGGCAGCAGUGGGAAUAUUGCACAAUGGGGAAAGCCCAUCGAUGCAGCCAUGCCGCGUGUGUGAAGAAGGCCUUCGGGUUGUAAAGCACUUUCAGUAGGGAGGAAGGUAGUGUAGUUAACACCUGCAUAUUGAUCGUAUCCUACAGAAGAAAGCACCGGCUAACUCCGUGCCAGCAGCCGCGGUAAUACGGAGGGUGCGAGCGUUAAUCGGAAUUACUGGGCGUAAAGCGCAUGCAGGC